UACAGAGGUCUCAAGCGUUGUUCGGAUUCAUUGGGCGUAAAGGGUGCGUAGGCGGCGCGGUAAGUCGGGUGUGAAAGCCCCGGCUCAACUGGGGAGGGUCAUUCGAUACUGGUCGACUCGAAGGCAGGAGAGGGAAGCGGAAUUCCCGGUGUAGUGGUGGAAAUGCGUAGAUAUCGGGAGGAACACCAGUGGCGAAGGCGGCUCCUGGCCUGUUCUUGACGCUGAGGCGCGAAAGCUAGGGGAGCAAACGGG
rnacentral:rRNA from 1 species